CGUGGAUCUGGGAUGGGACGGCUGGGCAGGGUCAGAGGCCACACCCAGAGCCCCUCCCCCACCAGGCCUGCACCGGGGUGAGGGCAGAUAGAGGGCCGGCCCACACUCAGCUGCAGGGUUUCCACGUGGAUUCCCUGAUUGCUGGAGUCACACCUGUAAGUUCUCGGCGGAAACACCUGGAGCUCAGCCUAUCGCCUCCGGAGGGGUCCCAGUGGAGGAUGCGAAUCGGCCCCGGACGCCGCUUCUCCUCGUGCAGAGACCCACCUUACCCCAGAGGAGGUGGGGGAGCCUUGGGCCAAGGAGCGGGGAUUUCAGCCACUUGGGGGUGUGUGCGCGCGCUUCAUCCGCGUCUUUAAGUAGUCCUGGCUUCGGGCAGCCCUUGGUGGAUGCCGUGUCUUCCUGGAAUGCGCCCUUUUCCAAAACCACUUUCUGGGUCCAAGAAGAGGAGGGAAGGAUCACUUGUCUGUUUCAGAAAGAAAGUUCUUCCAUUCCCAAAGAACCCUGCCAGGCUCCCUUCCACCCAGGUGACUCUAGUGUUUCUAUGAUUUGUUUUUGAUCCACUCAGGAUGUCAUUAUUAAAUUCUCAUUCAGACAGGUUUUAUGAGUAUACUUAUUCUUGUCUCCAGAAGAUUUCUUUCCUUCUAUUGUCUGAGCUCAACAGGAAAUGGACUUGAAACCUUUCUUCCUUUCAUCUGAACAUCAAGACCACCUAGGAGAGAAAAACCCUGAAAUAAAUGGAAAGUCCAGAGGGCA
rnacentral:lncRNA from 1 species